rnacentral:rRNA from 1 species
AUUGAACGCUGGCGGCAGGCUUAACACAUGCAAGUCGAGCGGAGCAAGGGUGCUUGCACCUUAGCUUAGCGGCGGACGGGUGAGUAAUGCUUAGGAAUCUGCCUAUUAGUGGGGGACAACAUUCCGAAAGGGAUGCUAAUACCGCAUACGCCCUACGGGGGAAAGCAGGGGAUCUUCGGACCUUGCGCUAAUAGAUGAGCCUAAGUCGGAUUAGCUAGUUGGUGGGGUAAAGGCCUACCAAGGCGACGAUCUGUAGCGGGUCUGAGAGGAUGAUCCGCCACAUUGGGACUGAGACACGGCCCAGACUCCUACGGGAGGCAGCAGUGGGGAAUAUUGGACAAUGGGCGGAAGCCUGAUCCAGCCAUGCCGCGUGUGUGAAGAAGGCCUUUUGGUUGUAAAGCACUUUAAGCGAGGAGGAGGCUACUAGUAUUAAUACUACUGGAUAGUGGACGUUACUCGCAGAAUAAGCACCGGCUAACUCUGUGCCAGCCGCCGCCGUAA